GCACUCUUGGUGGGAAUGCAAACUAGUACGGCUACCUUGGAGAACAGUACAGAGUUUCCUCAAAAAGUUAAAAGUAGAACCACCCAAUGGUCCAUAAUUCCACUCCUGGGUAUUUACCCAAAGGAAAGGAAAUCACUGUCUGGAAGAGACCUCUGCACCCUCACAUUCAUAGCAGCAUUUUUCAUAAUGGCCAAGUCAUGGAAACAGGUUAAGUGUCCAUCCAAUGAGUGAUGCCUAUACAAAGGAAUAUUGCUCAGCUGUAAAAAAGAAUGGGCAGAUCUGGAGGACAUUACGCUGAGUGAAAUAAGCCAGACACGCAAGAAAAGGCUGUGUGGUCUCACUUACAUGUGGAAUCUGAAGAAAAGAUAGAAGCCAAGCACAGAAUGACCUGGGGUAGGGACACGUUGAUUGUGGGGCACACUGUGGCAGUGACGCAGGAGGAAGCCUGGAGACCUGGCACCCAGCAUGGUGACCAGCUGACAGCCCUGUACUGAAUGUGUGUGACUUCAGAUGCUGUGACCACACACAGAUGGUGACUGAGUGGGGAGAAGACAGGUCCAGAGCUUGGCUCCAGCCAUCAUGUCACUGGCCCCUGGACCUCCAACAGCCCGAGAUGAUUCUCUGUGCAGCAGCCUCAGCAGCCACCUGAGAUGCAACGCAAUGUCCCUGGUCAGCAGGGGCGGCCACCCUACUCCACAGUGAUUCAGCCCAGAGCCCCUUGGUGCAGUGACCAAGACCCGGGCUGCAGAGGCUGGGCUGUGGCACACAGCUGUCUUCAGGAGGACAAGCAAUCUAACAUACCAAGGCCUCUGACAUCAGAGGAGAAGCUAUUUUCUUCAUUGGAAAAAUAUUUCAGAUGAUAUGAAUCAAACACAGUAAAACUGAAAACAGACCAAAGUGGGUUUUGCUGUUGCCAAAACCCACUUCUACAGGGCCUGGCCAGAGGAUUUCCAUCCCUGAGCACUGGACCAGGAAUGUUCCCAGCACAGGGACUCUGGCAGGGAGAAUCUGUGUCUGUAUGGUCCCCUGUACUUGCUGAGGAGAUUGGCCAGCAGCGGGCUGCCUUCAGGUGUCCAUCCCAGGAAAGGCAGUGCUUGCAGCAACUGCCUGGCCUGGUUCCGUCUGAGGCAUCAGUGGUUCCCGUGAACACGAGCAGAACCUGGAGCUGUCGUCCACGUGUGGCCCAUGACAGUGGCAGCUUUGUGAUACCCUGUGCCAUGUCCAGUCUCCACAUUGGCCGCUGCUAUGACACCCGACAGGAACCCAAAGCAGAGAGGGAUUCAGGAGCAGACCAGCUACUGCUUGGCUCCCACAAAUGGUCACCUUGGAACUCUUUAUGGAAGAGGACAAAACACCACCACCACCACCGUUUCAUAACCCUGCAGUGAAUGUGGAGACAACCACCCACCCCCAAAAGGAAACUCCAGCCGGGUACAUGUAUCGAACCUAUGGUGUUGGUCAAGUAUUUUGGAUCAAUAAGUGAGGUUGUACUUUUGAUUGGUAAGUGUAAAUCUAAAUCCCUUGGAAGGGAUAUUAUUCUCUGACGUUGCCCCAACCUAAAUUGUUGGCCCAUGGGGAGAUGUGUUGUCUCUAUUGGUUGUAUUGAUGUAGUCUCUUUAGGCCAGUGAAUUAAAGCUCCAUAGGGUCUUGUCCUAU